UACGUAGGGUGCGAGCGUUAAUCGGAAUUACUGGGCGUAAGGGGCGCGUAGGCGGUGUGUCAAGUCAGGCGUGAAAGCCCCGGGCUCAACCUGGGAACAGCGCUUGAGACUGGCACGCUCGAGUUCGGGAGAGGAUGGUGGAAUUCCCAGUGUAGAGGUGAAAUUCGUAGAUAUUGGGAAGAACACCGAUGGCGAAGGCAGCCAUCUGGACCGACACUGACGCUGAGGCGCGAAAGCGUGGGGAGCAAACAGG
rnacentral:rRNA from 1 species